rnacentral:snRNA from 1 species
AAAAAGGGCUUGUGCUAUGUAUGGCACAUCGUGAUCUCCUGCUUGGGGAUUGCGGUGCGGAAUCGAUAUCAAGAGAUUUCGGAAGCAUAAUUUUUAUAACAGGGGCUGCCUGUGAGCUGCUCUCCGGGCGUCCCG